rnacentral:rRNA from 1 species
AUUGAACGCUGGCGGCAGGCCUAACACAUGCCAGUCGAACGGUAACAGGAAGAAGCUUGCUUCUUUGCUGACGAGUGGCGGACGGGUGAGUAAUGUCUGGGAAACUGCCUGAUGGAGGGGGAUAACUACUGGAAACGGUAGCUAAUACCGCAUAACGUCGCAAGACCAAAGAGGGGGACCUUCGGGCCUCUUGCCAUCGGAUGUGCCCAGAUGGGAUUAGCUAGUAGGUGGGGUAACGGCUCACCUAGGCGACGAUCCCUAGCUGGUCUGAGAGGAUGACCAGCCACACUGGAACUGAGACACGGUCCAGACUCCUACGGGAGGCAGCAGUGGGGAAUAUUGCACAAUGGGCGCAAGCCUGAUGCAGCCAUGCCGCGUGUAUGAAGAAGGCCUUCGGGUUGUAAAGUACUUUCAGCGGGGAGGAAGGGAGUAAAGUUAAUACCUUUGCUCAUUGACGUUACCCGCAGAAGAGGCACCGGCUAACUCCGUG